CUCCUACGGGAGGCAGCAGUGAGGAAUAUUGGACAAUGGGCGCAAGCCUGAUCCAGCCAUGCCGCGUGCAGGAAGACGGCCCUAUGGGUUGUAAACUGCUUUUGUACGGGAAGAAACACCCCCUCGUGAGGGGGCUUGACGGUACCGUAAGAAUAAGGAUCGGCUAACUCCGUGCCAG
rnacentral:rRNA from 1 species